rnacentral:rRNA from 1 species
CAGUCGCCGCGGUAAUACGUAGGGUGCAAGCGUUAAUCGGAAUCACUGGGCGUAAAGCGUGCGCAGACGGUUUGUUAAGACAGAUGUGAAAUCCCCGGGCUCAACCUGGGAACUGCAUUUGUGACUGGCAAGCUAGAGUAUGGCAGAGGGGGGUGGAAUUCCGCGUGUAGCAGUGAAAUGCGUAGAUAUGCGGAGGAACACCAGUGGCGAAGGCGACUCUCUGGUCUGUAACUGACGCUGAGGAGCGAAAGCGUGGGGAGCGAACAGGAUUAGAUACCCCAGUAGUCCCUGUCUCUUAUAC